CCGUAGCUCAGUUGGUAGAGCACCUGACUUUUAAUCAGGUUGUCACUGGUUCGAUCCCAGUCG
rnacentral:tRNA from 1 species